GCGAUGGCCGAGUGGUUAAGGCGUUGGACUUGAAAUCCAAUGGGGUCUCCCCGCGCAGGUUCGAACCCUGCUCGCUGCGGAAGCGGGUGCUUCAGUUUUUCGCCUUUUAUACAAAACUACUUCAAAAUCCAUCAUCUCCUUGCGGCUUGUAUCCGCCAGAUAAAAAUCUACGGAAAGCUUUAAUGAACCCCAAGACCCUGAAGGGUCGGUACUGCGAAGUGCGUGGUUUAUAAUGUCGGAAGAAAUCUCCCCUAAAGGCCAGAGAGCAGUUUUAGAAUCUCGAUGUUAGCACGAAGGGCAGACCCAAGAACGAUGGAAUUCCUGGCUUUCCCAGGAUGACAAGCUGUUAUUGCCCGCCCUGUAACUAAGGGCAUCCUCCCCUUCCCCUGAAAAAAAAACCCCGAAGUGCUGCGCAAUGGAAAACUUUUUAAAAAUAAUUCCGCUUUUAAUGUGCGCUAAAGUCCGCACCGUGGAACCCAGUGAGACGCUGUGUGCCUUCUGCUUUUGACACGGGUCUCACUGUGUCUGCCUGAUUAAAUCCCAGGUUCCUGGGCUCAAGGGAUGUGGCCCCGUGUUCUCCCAGAGCACUGAGAUCCCGGAGAGGCGCAGCGGUACCCAGACCCGGCUCGCGGUGAAAACGACGCCAGCAGAGUCCGUGAGUGGAGCACCUGCAUUGGCCAAGUGCAAAACUCGGGAUGGGUUUGGGACGUUGAUGUGGGGUAGCUCUAUCCUCCCUGUCGAAGCAUCGUCUCCUUCAGGAAGGGAGGAGGGAGGCUCAAGACGCAGGAAGCGAGGGAGAGUUGCAAGGCCCAGGAGGCUGAGAGAGAGGUGGCUGCAGAAGAGAGGACCCCGGUGGAGUUCUCUGCAAGUGGGGCCGGGAGCAGGAAUCCGUCUUUCAUGAGAGGUCAGCCAUGCUGAGGUCGGCUUUUCAGAGACUGCAGCGACAUCUGAGUCACUCAAGGUCUCCUUGGUGACUUCUCACUCAUGCUCCUGUGAAGAGGCUCACGGAUGCUGUUAUCGAUUGCUUUUCCUGUCCCUGCUUUUCACCGAGGAAAAUCAGCCACUGUAUCCAUCGUUCAGAUCUACUUGUGACCGUCUGAUCUUGGUUUACAUCCAUCUGAGCUUGAAAAAUGACCGCUCUCAGACCGGUGGAUGCUUCCUGAGGCACUCAGCUCUCACGCGGAUGGAUACGUCAGCAUCUUCUUGGAGUGGCGAAGUCUUUUCUGAUAGGUCCUUGUUUUCCCCGCCGCUGCUCUUUACCUUUCAAAUAAAUAAAUAAUAAAUAAAUAAAUAAAAUAUUUUUAAAGCCCUA